GGCCCACUCGUCUAGCGGCCAGGACACCGGCCCCUCAAGCCGGAGACCGGGGUUCAAGUCCCCGGUGGGCCA
rnacentral:tRNA from 1 species